rnacentral:rRNA from 1 species
AUUGAACGCUGGCGGCAGGCCUAACACAUGCAAGUCGAACGGUAACAGGAAACAGCUUGCUGUUUCGCUGACGAGUGGCGGACGGGUGAGUAAUGUCUGGGAAACUGCCUGAUGGAGGGGGAUAACUACUGGAAACGGUAGCUAAUACCGCAUAACGUCGCAAGACCAAAGAGGGGGACCCUCGGGCCUCUUGCCAUCGGAUGUGCCCAGAUGGGAUUAGCUUGUUGGUGGGGUAACGGCUCACCAAGGCGACGAUCCCUAGCUGGUCUGAGAGGAUGACCAGCCACACUGGAACUGAGACACGGUCCAGACUCCUACGGGAGGCAGCAGUGGGGAAUAUUGCACAAUAGGCGCAAGCCUGAUGCAGCCAUGCCGCGUGUAUGAAGAAGGCCUUCGGGUUGUAAAGUACUUUCAGCGGGGAGGAAGGGAGUAAAGUUAAUACCUUUGCUCAUUGACGUUACCCGCAGAAGAAGCACCGGCUAACUCCGUG